rnacentral:piRNA from 1 species
UGGAAGCAUCGCGGAUCAUGAAUU